rnacentral:rRNA from 1 species
ACGCUCGACACCUACGGGAGGCAGCAGUUGGGAAUAUUGGACAAUGGAGGAAACUCUGAUCCAGUGACGCCGCGUGAAGGAAGAAGGUCUUCGGAUUGUAAACUUAUUUUGUCAGGGAAGAAAAUGACUGUACCUGAAGAAAAGCACCGGCUAACUACGUGCAGCAGCCGCGGUAAUCUGAGCGGGCUGGCAAGGC